rnacentral:rRNA from 1 species
CCUACGGGAGGCAGCAGUGGGGAAUAUUGCACAAUGGGGGAAACCCUGAUGCAGCGACGCCGCGUGAGUGAAGAAGGAUUUCGGGAUGGAAAGCUCUAGCAGCAGGGAAGAAAAUGACGGUACCUGAGUAAGAAGACCCGGCGAACUACGUGCCAGAAGCCGCGGUAAUACGUAGGGGGCAAGCGUGAUCCGGAUUUACUGGGGGUCAAGGGAGCGUAGACGGCAGCCCAAGUCUGGAGUGAAAUGCCGGGGCUUAACCCCGGAACUGCUUUGGAAACUGUGCAGCUAGAGUGCCGGAGAGGUCAGUGGCAUUCCUCUUGUAGCGGUGCAAUGCGUCGCUAU